rnacentral:tRNA from 1 species
GCCAGUGGUGGUGCCAGAGAAUGAGCCAUCCGCUGCAACGUCUUGCUCGGCUUCCGCGUUACAGCAACCGUCUGCGGGAUUCAAAAUCCCGUAUCCUUUACUGGGUGUGUGGGUUCGACUCCCACCUUCGGCA